AUGACAGAGGGUCAGGCUGAGGACUUCCUGAGUCACCGGGUCUUACCCCACCCCAUCGCACCUUUCGAAGCAGGGUCCCCAGCAGCUCAGCGGUCAGGGGUAGGCGGUCCUGCGGUGGGUUGCUCGGCAGAGGCUGGGCUGGGAGAGGAACACACAGCAGCGCGAGUCGAGGCAAAGCCUGGCUUGAGACGGCUCCCACCUUGUGCCCAUGACACAGCUGGGCAGGUCGAGGCCCAGAGCGUCCCUGCUGCCUCACCGGCUCCGCCUGCCCCUCUCAGCGCGGGCAUCAGCCUUCCCAGGCUGGCCAGCAUCCUGUGGGUUCUUGCACCCCCCAGCACGGUGCGGGCAUCUGCCAGGAGCCGGGAGACCCUGGGGGCAGAGAGAGCACAAGGCGGGGCUCGGCAGACACCCCGGGGCCCGCGGCCGCCGCGCCCACUGCCGCUUGCUCACAGGGAGUCCUGGAAGUUGCUGAGGACGCCGGGCUGCUCGGCGGGCGUGGGCUGCGCGAAGCAGGUGUUGUUCGAGCUGCAGAGGAGGCCCUGGAGCCAGGCCACGGUGCCGGCCGAGGGCAGCGGCUUGUUGCGGAAGUGGCCUGUGGGGAUGCUUGGCGUGGGGAGCCUUGCCCGCACCCUCACGGUGUCCGCACCCUCCCGACACAGUGCUCACUCAAGGCUUUUAUCCCAUAGCCCUGUCUGCGCUCACAAGGCCCCUGUGGAUAGGGUGACCCCGUGCCUACCCCACCCCACGCAAAGGGCCUGGUCCCUGCGGGGCUUACAUUCAUGCUGCUCAAGUGGGGGGUGGGAGUGGCGCACAGCCACCAGGAUGAAGAAGAGAAACAGAGGCCACAGCAGCUCCACCAAGAGCUGGAUCUGGGGGAGGGGCAGAAGAGGCGGGGGAGUGGGGCACCCUGAGGGGCACCAGCGCCGCCCCUCCCUGGCCCAUCAGUCCUGGCAUUACCGGCUGUCUCCUGCGAUACAGGACGUUUUUCCAAAGCAGCAGCAUUAG
rnacentral:lncRNA from 1 species